UAUAGGAGAAAGGUCUAGCGCAAAUCGUGGCAGUGGCAUCUCGCUGAGGCACUUGCUGUUGCAGGCUGCGGUGCCGCGGUGAUUCGUGGCAACUGCCUCGACUCUGUGGCAACUGCCUCGUGUGUUUACUCGGUCAAGGGAGGUAGCUCGAGCGGUGCCAUGAGUUCGGGUACCGGUCCCUCGGUCGGGGGAGCUAAAUGGACAGAUGCAUUGUGUUAUAGGAUCGUUACUACGAUGUAUGGGCUCGAUUCCUCGGCUGGUAGCGGUACCGGGACUUUAAGGGAGAGGUGCCACGACCGCUAAGGGAGCCUUAGCUCUCGGCUGGUCGAGGUACAUGGAGUUCAAUGGAGAGGUGCCGCGAGUGCUAAGGGAGCCUUAGCCCCGGUCGAGGCAGGCAGCUCGAGCGGUGCCGCGGCUGUAAAGGUAACGGUGCUACGGAGGGACACUUGUCUGAGAAGCAGCAAUUUAUUGCUGAGGUCAUUUUGCCAGAGGUCUUGAUUGAGUGGUUACAAAGGACCAGCAACAUGUGUCGGUACCAGGCAGAAUCUCUUCUUCUUGAGAACACAUCUAACAAAAGUGCUGAAGACACGUCAGGAGGUGACAGAGAAAGCAAAGUAGUGGAUAAUGUUCUACUAAGAGACUGCCUGACCGCAGCUGACUGGUGUCGCAAGACACAAUUUCAAGGAAGAUUGAAACUUCCCGCUGUCCUUUCCAUGGAAGAGGAAGAACAAGAGGAAACUCUUCAGGACCUCCACAAUUGGGAAGAUGACCCAAACGAUGACUCUCCAGCGGAACUUUUUACCUUUAUUUUUGAACAAAAGAAGGACUACAAAAAGUUCUGCACUGCAAUGCUAGAUGAAAAAAAUUUGAAAGCAUUUGCAAAGUUUGAGCAACAGUAGUAUUGACAAUGUGCUCAAACUAGUGGACACACACCUCGAGAUGUGCAAUUGAAAAUAUAUAAAUAUAUGAAGCAUUUUGAAUUAAAAGAUUUGGUUUGUUACAUCU